AGUGGUACGCGAGCUGGGUUUAGAACGUCGUGAGACAGUUCGGUCCCUAUCUGCCGUGGGCGCUGGAGAACUGAGGGGGGCUGCUCCUAGUACGAGAGGACCGGAGUGGACGCAUCACUGGUGUUCGGGUUGUCAUGCCAAUGGCACUGCCCGGUAGCUAAAUGCGGAAGAGAUAAGUGCUGAAAGCAUCUAAGCACGAAACUUGCCCCGAGAUGAGUUCUCCCUGACUCCCUGAGAGUCCUGAAGGAACGUUGAAGACGACGACGUUGAUAGGCCGGGUGUGUAAGCGCAGCGAUGCGUUGAGCUAACCGGUACUAAUGAACCGUGAGGCUUAACCUUACAACGCCGAAGCUGUU
rnacentral:rRNA from 1 species